rnacentral:lncRNA from 1 species
GAGAGAGAGAGAGAGAGAGGCUGCUAUGCUAUCGGAAGCACGGAGCCUUCCGUGCUUCUAGUUCGUUUUCGAUGUUGCGACUUUCGAAUCGUCAAUCUGCUCCGUUAAACUUGAUCUAGAGUAUUUGAAGUACCUAGAAAAUAAAUUUUAUGAUUUUACGAUAUCAUUUGCCUAGUGAACGAUGGGGCUCAAAAUCAACGGCUGAAAAUAAAAAUCUUACAAAAUAUAAUAAUACGACAUUAAAAUUUUAAAUCAAAGAUAUUGAUCUUGUUUUAUAUAGUAGUGCAGGUUUAGAUUGGGUAUUUUUGGACUCAUCUCCAGUUGAUGCAUACAUACAGUAGCGGUAGUUCUGCAUUUAUAGUUCUUGUUC